UGGGGAAUAUUGCACAAUGGGCGCAAGCCUGAUGCAGCGACGCCGCGUGAGCGAAGAAGUAUUUCGGUAUGUAAAGCUCUAUCAGCAGGGAAGAAAAUGACGGUACCUGACUAAGAAGCUCCGGCUAAAUACGUGCCAGCAGCCGCGGUAAUACGUAUGGAGCAAGCGUUAUCCGGAUUUACUGGGUGUAAAGGGAGCGUAGACGGACUUGCAAGUCUGAUGUGAAAGGCCGGGGCUCAACCCCGGGACUGCAUUGGAAACUGUAGGUCUUGAGUGCCGGAGAGGUAAGCGGAAUUCCUAGUGUAGCGGUGAAAUGCGUAGAUAUUAGGAGGAACACCAGUGGCGAAGGCGGCUUACUGGACGGUAACUGACGUUGAGGCUCGAAAGCGUGGGGAGCAAACAGGAU
rnacentral:rRNA from 1 species